AACGGAGGGUGCAAGCGUUAUUCGGAAUGAUUGGGCGUAAAGCGUCCGCAGGUGGCAGUUCAAGUCUGCUGUCAAAGACCGGGGCUUAACUUCGGAAAGGCAGUGGAAACUGAACAGCUAGAGUAUGGUAGGGGCAGAGGGAAUUCCUGGUGUAGCGGUGAAAUGCGUAGAGAUCAGGAAGAACAUCGGUGGCGAAGGCGCUCUGCUGGACCAGAACUGACGCUCAGGGACGAAGGCUAGGGGAGCGAAUGGG
rnacentral:rRNA from 1 species